AUUUGUACGUCUUCCGAGUGUCAGUAAUUAAAAUUUAAAGACGAGUAAAGCGAAAUUUCUGGCUUUUAAUCUUCUCUAGAAGUUUGUGGCAAAAUGUUGUUGGAAGGUUUGUUUAUUUGUGGUCAAAACGAAGCAAUUCCAUUAAAAAGUCUUUCCGUACGAGCAUUUCUACAGGGCUAUGUAGUAGGAUUUCGCUCGACGUUGACCUAUGACAACAACACCUCUAAUCCACUCGAAGUAUUUUUCCGUACGCCCGUCGACGAUUCUUACGCCGUCGUUGGUUUAGAAGCCUGCAUCGAUGGCAGAAAGAUCCGAGCAGAGAUCCAGGAAAAGGAAAAAGCGAGGGAGAUGUACCAGGAAGCUAUAUCAAGAGGGCGUACAGCCGCUUUUGGGGAAGAAAAAAAGGGUGACAUAUUUAGUUUAGUUCUGGGUAAUCUCCCCCCGGGCGAGAAAGCUGUGAUACAACUCACGAUGGUCGGCGAGCUGGCUGUUGAACCUGAUGGAGCAGUACGGUUUGUUCUACCAACGGUACUAAAACCCCGGUACACACCUCCUGGAAGUACAGAUCCCCUAGCACCAGAAAAUCCCACUUCAGGAAGUGGCCCAGUUCACCAUGCUACAGGACCCCCAGAAUAUAAAUUUGACAUGGUGAUCAAUGGAGCUCCUGGUAUUGCAAAUGUGACAUCGCCAUCCCACGAAAUUCAUGUUGAAAAUACUGGUCAGAAUAUUAACGUUUCAUUGGCUGAAGAUAAACAAACAGAUAUAGUCAUUCUGGUUCAACCAAAGGAAGCUCAUAAACCUUUGGUAAUCGUUGAACCUGGUUUGUCAAAUGGUGAAAACGAUUUCCAGAAAAACACGGUCGUCAUGGUCAGCUUCUUCCCAGAAUUCAAAGGUGACACCUCAUGUCUCCAAGCUGCAUGUGAAUUUGUGUUUGUUAUUGAUCGCAGUGGAAGCAUGGCUGGUUCUUACAUCCAAGAUGCAUCCCAAACACUCUUGCUAUUCCUAAAAAGUAUCCCUGAAGGUUGUUAUUUCAAUGUGAUUGGUUUUGGAAGCAGUUAUGAACAUCUGUUUCCCGAGAGUGUGGCCUACAAUCAGAAAAAUUUGGAGAUUGCAGUAAAACACGCAAAAAACCUGCAAGCAGACCUUGGUGGCACAGAACUUUUUGACCCUCUCAAGGACAUCUUCAGCCAUGCACCCAUGAAAGGCUUGCCGAGACAAGUAUUUGUUCUCACGGAUGGAAGUAUUGGUAAUACAGAAUCUGUGAUUAAGUUGGUCGCAAAGAAUUCCAAUAACUCCAGGUUUGUUUAUGUUUUUUUUGCUAAAUGGGUAAUUUGAUGCAAAUACCCUUGAACCAACAAGUUGCGUCACAGGUCACCCUAAAAAAAUAUCAGAACUGACCAUUUUGAAAGGAACAGACUGUGAGGAAGUGGACACAGGCUAACUGUGUGGACUUAGUAAUGAGAGACAAGCCGGGUGUUAGCCAGGUGGCCGUCUGACCGUCCUAUGGACGGCCACUUCUGAAUUUGGACGGCUAAAUUUUAAUGGACGGCCUAAGGGAAUACCUUCUUUAAAUAGCAACCUACAAGCUUUGUAAUAUUUCUUGAAUACUUUGCACCAUAAUGUUGUAAAACGCGCCAUGUUUUUGUAACCAUUUUGAUGAUUCUCGCAUGAAGUAUCAAGGAGAAUAAUGUGAAAUCGCUGUUUUAAAAAACAGUAAUCGCUUUAUCGCUUGAGCGCCAUAUUACAGUUACGGUAGCACUUGAUCAUACCAUAUGUGUGCUUUUACUAAUUUAAUGAUGGAAAUUAUGUGCAUCUAAAACUAAAAGUAAAAAGGUUCAACGAAUAGAAGACCACAAUUCCUCAACAACAGAAAAUUGCGGCCACCCCAAAAAACAUGUGACCACGCCCACAAAAAUAUGUUGCCACGCCCGCAAAAUUAUUUUGGACGGCCACUUUUGAAAUCCUGGCUAACACCCUGGAGACAAGGUCAUGGCCUUUGUAGCUAGGAGGGCCCUGGGGCAGGGUUGCUGGUCAAGGUGACCAGCCAACUCAAUUUUAGCUCAGACAUGCCGAAUGUCGAACCUACGACCUUUGGAAUACUAUCCCAAUGCUCUGCCAACUGAGCUACAUGCCUAGUACAUGGUCAGGUCAACUGACCAUUUGUCAAAAUGACCGGCAAGGUAAGAAUUUGACUGGACAACUCUGCAUUCUAGCCGGACAUUGUCCGUUGAGCGGCUGUUACUUCACGUCCUGCCUUUGGGGAAUGCUCCUACAUUUAGAACUACCUAAUUUUGGAAAAUGGGAGGCUUUAGGAUGACCCUUGUGUUGCAUUGCACCAUACUUUAUUAUUUUACUCUGUCUAAUACCAGAUGAUUUUAUUUAUCAAGGGGGGAGUGCUGGUGCUCAAUGGGUCAAUUAAGAUAUCAAUUAAUUUACCAAAUAAUUUUAUAUUUUUUACUUUUGAGGGGAUUGAAUUUUAGAGGUGUUUUUUGAAUUUUUUAAAAAAAUUGCUGCGAUUCCCCUUUGCGUUUGGCUGACCAAAGUUUUAAAAUUUUUCAAAACAUGUUUUUGUCUGUCAAAUGUAAUUGUUUUGAUAAAAGAAAUGCUCUUUUGACAAGAAAGUUUGGAGCAGGUUUGGCUAUAUAUAUUUUUUUUAUUUCUAUACUAUAUUUAUUUGAAUAAUUUUCUUAAUUUAUUUUUCCCAAAGGUGUUUCUCAUUUGGUAUUGGUUCUGGAGCUUCAUCAACUCUGGUGAAAGGAAUUGCAGAGGCUGGCAAAGGCGCUGCAGAGUUUAUCACCUCAGGAGAGAGGAUGCAAGCUAAGGUAACGUUGGCUAAAAAGAACAAAAAUAAAGAGAUUAGCCUUUACAAAAUAACAAAACGUGGUCAAAAAUGGCGAAAUGGUUAAUUAAGUCCUGAACUUUCGUGCAAACAAUAGAGACUUUACGAUUUUAGGACGGCAACGACAACGGCCAAAACAAACUCCUUCAAAUAAAUGGUGGUAAAGAUAAUUCGUCGCAUAUUAUCAAUCGUAUGAAUUUAAUACAGUCUUAGAAGUUGAAGACAUGGGUUUUAUGUUUGGGGAGAGUUCUGCUGAAUCCAGUUUGAAGUUGCACUUGUUGCGUCUUGGAAUGCAGCCGUUGUAUCAAGACGUGAAAAUCUGUGAUUUGGCGUUGUAAACAGAGCGAGAACAAUGUCUAAAUUAUUCAUGUAUUGUAAUUAUUCAAUUCUUUUCAAUGAUCUUUUGUAUUGGUAGCCGUCGCCGUCCUAAAUCGUAAGGUCCCUAAUAUUUUAGGCUAACACCCUCUCUGGCCAAAGGCUGAACGCGGUCAAAAAUGGCCAAAAGGUAACCGCCUUCACUUUUUUGAGGCCAGAGUUACCGGGGUCAGUUACUGUAGUCAACCAUUUACUGUCUGUCUUUGUCUGAAUAACAUAAUAAUUUAUUAACAGGUGAUCCGAUCACUAAAGAAAGCCAUGCAGCCAGCAAUUACCAACACCAAAGUCUCUUACACAGUUCCUGAUGGUGUGACAGUCACUGCUGUACCCAAAAGUUCUCUGCCAGCAAUAUUUAUCGGAGAACGUUUGAUCGUCUACGCCAUCCUUCAUCAAAACUCGCCGCCUACUGAGGUACAAGAAGGAUCGAUAUGUUUGAGCGGAGAUUUACUCGGAGCGAAAGUUGAACACAACAUGAAGUUUCAAAUUCCAGCUGCCGUGACGAGAGAGCACAUGUUGCAAGUCUCGACCAUUCAUCAUCUUGCGGCCAAAAAGUUGAUCAAAGGAAUGGAAUUGGAUCUCCAGAGUGGUCAGACGAACUCGUACAUAAUCCAGCUCAGUUGUGAUGCGAAUGUCAUAUCUUCCCAAACAGCAUUUAUCGCCAUUGAUGAAGAACGGAAGGAGGUGGUGAAAGGAAGCUUGGAAACUUGGGAUAUUCUGCCUGCUGACGAGUUGUGUUAUGCUUUUUCUCCUAUGGCUUGUUCCAGUCCGCCUGGGCGUGUGAUGGCAAGGAUGAGUGGUGGUGGUUAUGAUGAUAGUGGUAGUGAUGAGUGUGUUGCUUUAGGAGCGAGUGCGCCUCCGCCUCGUUCAAAAAAGAAAUCGUUUGGAUUUUCUAUGCCGAAGAUAUUUAAAGGUGCUAGAACAAAGUCUGCCGCAAGUGCGCCAUCUGUGGAUUGUGUCAGUGAAAAGUGUCCACCAUCUUAUGGUAGUGACGUUGUUGUAGAGCGAAAGAUUCCUACUCCAACGAGUCCGCUUACAGGUGUCAUCAACCUUCAACUGGCCAGCGGUGCUUGGAAAAUGUCAGCAGAGAUGGCAGGUGUGAUGGCUAAAUCCACGGCAGAGAUUAAAAACGCGUGUCCAGUGCGUUGCGAAGGUGAUAUGGAAACAAUCUGGGCGACGGUGAUUGUCUUGAUGUAUCUGCAAAUUCGACAGUCAAAUUUCAGAGAUGAAUGGGAGUUGAUUGCUGGAAAGGCUCAAACAUGGCUGGCAAAACAGAAGCUUCCUGAAGGUUGUUCCGUUCAAGUUUUGCGUGAAAAAGCAAUGGCAUUUCUUUCUUGACUUUAUUUAACAUUACUGUUGAGUGUUGCUAAAAACGAUCAAAUAUAUAUAUAUAUAUAUAUUAAACAUAAAUAUAAUAAAACAUAAACAUAAUAACAACAAAAGGGGAACAAAAAGGGGC